rnacentral:snoRNA from 15 species
UAAUUUCAAGGGAGGAAUGAUGUUCAAAGUGAAGCCCUAAGAAAAGGAACCUGAGUCUCAGGUCUGUGAUGGAGUUACUUUCUUCCUGACCUUCCUUGACCUGAA